rnacentral:rRNA from 1 species
AGCAGCCGCGGUAAUUCCAGCUCCAAUAGCGUAUAUUAAAGUUGUUGCAGUUAAAAAGCUCGUAGUUGAAUUUCGGGGUUAGUAGGUUGGUCAUGCCUCUGGUAUGUACUGGUCUCACUGAUUCCUCCUUCCUGAUGGGCCGUAAUGCCAUUAAUUUGGUGUUGCGGGGAAUUUGGACUGUUACUUUGAAAAAAUUAGAGUGUUUAAAGCAAGCUAACGCUUGAAUACAUUAGCAUGGAAUAAUGAAAUAGGACGUUCGAUCCUAUUUUGUUGGUUUCUAGGAUUGACGUAAUGAUUAAUAGGGAUAGUUGGGGGCAUUAGUAUUCAAUUGUCAGAGGUGAAAUUCUUGGGUUUAUUGAGGACUAACUACUGCGAAAGCAUUUGCCAAGGAUGUUUUCAUUAAUCAAGAACGAAAGUUAGGGGAUCGAAGACGAUCAGAUACCGUCGUAGUCUUAACCAUAAACUGUGCCGACUAGGGAUCGGAUGAUGUUAAUUUUUUAAUGACUCA